GUGGACAACACACCGGACAGUGUGGACGGCUGGACGCAGUGUGGACGGAGAUAGACAGCGAAGGAAAGUUUCUUCUGGACCAAGAUUAAUAGCAACUGUAAGUGUGAUUCUUCAGUGGUGACCCAUCUCAGCCUUGGUGUGGAGGUCUGGCUGUUGAAUCCUGAACUAAUCGAGGAAGACCCACCUGUUGGACGGAGAGUUUGGAGGUUUUAAAGGUAGUCAUCCUCACUGGAUGGCUCGUCCUCAUCAUCAUCAUAGCUGUAGUGGUGAUAGUUGCUGGG